ensembl:lncRNA
GGGAGAUUCGGGAAAAUGUGACCCAAGCUCUGGCCUCUCUCCCGGUGUCGUCAUUGCUGGACGUUGAUCAGAUCAGCUCAGCGCUGUCACUGUCUACAUCUGUUCCUCGUGAGUUGGUGUGUGAGAGCUGCCAUGAGAAAGUUCUGGAAGCUGUUGGGAAAAUGAUCCAUGUCAUAGAGGAACAGAUGAUCCCUGUUGUUUGGCCAGCUGUUGACACAGGAAGAAACAUCCUCAAUGUCAUAGGUAGGACCUUGGCUGCCAUGUCUGAGUCACUCAGUGCUUCCACUUCUCACCCAGCCUACUCAAGCACCCUGCAGGCAGCUUCAGUAACCGCCAUGUCGGCACUGGACCAGGCUGGUGCUCUAAUGCGCACCCUGAUGCACUCGCGUGUUGGUGGCGAGGCGCCACUUUCACUCUCCAAUGACUAUAUCAACACAGUUGGUUUCCAAGGAGAUCCCGCUGACCUCCUCUGCACCCAGGACCAGAUCUCUUCCUCUCUGUCAACAGCUGAUGAAUUCAAAUGUCAGUUUCACAUCCCUGCUUCCCUCACGGCUCACCUGAAGACUCAGACGUCUGAGGUGGUGCAGGUGCUGUUUGGUGUGGAUGGAGCACUGCAUUCUAACCAUUUGGUGACUGCAGCUAACCCUCCGAUCUCCACCUCUGUGGUUGCCAUGGAACUCAGCACUCCUGAAGGUCAGCCCAUACCCGUCCAGAACCUGGGCCCUGAGCAAGCCAUACGGGUCACCCUGCCCAACAAUCACCCUGUAGAUCAGGGUGAUCGGAGUGGAGAUGUAGCUGGGACUGGGACAUGUCUUACUGUAACCCUCCC